AUGGGGUUGGGCCUAAUAACUAUUAGGUAAGAGAUCCAAUGACAGCCUUGCACCUGCUUGUGAACGGUGGGUCGGGCUUAACUAAGGAGGGUGGUCAAGAAUUGUUAGAUGAGCCCACAUGACUUAGAGACCAAGUUACUGCAACAUGCUUAGAGAAGUAUUUGGACAAAGAGUUGGCUAUGUAUCGGUAUACAUGUUAUCAAAAAUUGUUAGAUGAGG
rnacentral:lncRNA from 1 species